rnacentral:rRNA from 1 species
CAAUAGCGUAUAUUAAAGUUGUUGCAGUUAAAAAGCUCGUAGUUGAAUUUUUGCUUGCCGCCGAUGUCGGAACUUCCGUACGUUCGGCGGCGUGCAUCCUUGGGUGGAACCUGUGUGGCAUUAGGUUGUCGUGCAGGGGAUGCUCAUCGUUUACUGUGAAAAAAUUAGAGUGUUCAAAGCAGGCUUAUGCCGUUGAAUAUAUUAGCAUGGAAUAAUAAGAUAGGACCUUGGUACUAUUUUGUUGGUUUGCGCACCGAGGUAAUGAUUAACAGGGACAGUUGGGGGUAUUCGUAUUCCAUUGUCAGAGGUGAAAUUCUUGGAUUUCUGGAAGACGAACUACUGCGAAANCANNNACCAAGGAUGUUUNCAUNGA